GCUUUCAGCUGGAAUGUUAUCAACUUCGGUCACGCUGAUUAUCUCAGGCUGAUCAGGAAGGCUGGUACCAGGAGUGAGUGACUAAAUGAAGAAAUUACUAAUUAACAAAUGCUUGGGUGGACAAUCUUUCAAAACUUAGGAUCAAUGGGAGGAGACAGAAGGAGUCUUGUGAGGAUUUUUAAAAUAUGCCAGAGCUGGCUGGGUACAGUGGCUCACACCUGUAACCUGAGGACUUUGAGGCCGAGGUGGGCAGAUCACCUAAGCUCAGGAGUUCGAGACCAGCCUGGGAAACAUGGCGAAACCCCGUCUCUACUAAAGCUAUAAAAAGUUAGCUGGGCGUGGUGGUGCAUGCUGUAGUCCCAGCUACUCAGGAGGCUGAGGCACGAGAAUCGCUUGAACCUGGGAGAUGGAGGUUGAAGUGAGCUGAGAUCGCACCAUUGCACUCCAGCCUGGAAAAAGAAAAAAAAAAAAAAGCCAGGGCUCCUAAUGUACUCAUUUAAACAUCACUUGUGUCCACUCUGGAUUUGGAAUUGUGUUGGACAUGGGAUACACAAAGCGGGAGUGGAAUUUUCAAGAAGCAGCUGUGCUGUGGGUGAUAGUCAUACUUUAUUCUCUAAAACUCUCCAGUUUCAAUUGGCCUCUUGGUGCCAAAGCACCAUGGCGUGUUACACCUCUCAGAGGGGGCACACUGCCCCUUCUUCCCAACCUACGAGCUGAAAUGGCCAGCACUGCGCCUUCCAGAACCCAGCUUAGAUGCACAGUUGCCAUGCAGGUAGGAAGAAUGAUUCGUUCGCCACCAAAAGCCCAGUUUCUCCAACAGGUGAAUCCCUAGGCCAGCCCGGCCCCUUCCCACACACCCCUACCCCGAGAUGGGUGCAGAAUCAGCAGCGGGGAUCGUCCAGAAACUCUCGCAUUCCACGGCAGGUGUUGGAGCGGGCCUCAUUCCAGAGUCGUGGUGGCCGCUCCACCUGGCGAGCUUUGAGGGGACUCUGGCAGGCGCUCGCUGUGGGGUCCUCCCACCAGUCUUCUCAGCACAGGAACGGUGCCUUCACAUUGGUCUUCCGGGGUUUAAAAGCAUAUCAUUCCUGCUCACUCUUCAGAUGCAAACUCCCCCUCCGAGGAUACCUCCAGGUUCCCUGCCAGCUCACCUGACUCACAUGGCAAUGGUCAGCGGGCUGUCUGAGCCCAAAUCAAGCACCGUUUAUUAGGGGGAAGCUCCGUUAUCCAGAAAGCUCACCUUUGAAGAGCUACCUAUUUCCUGCCAAAGUUGUGGCGGGAAGGCCUUAGGUACUAGAAAACCUCGGGGAAUUUGGGGAAUGGCAAUUAAAGGAUUAUCAUUCUUAUUUGUUUGGAUAAGCAGCAAUCACCCUUCGGAUGCUUAUUGGUGAGAAUAUUUCUAAAAGCGUCCUGCACAUUUUCCUGCUUCGAUGAAUGGAACGGGAGGGCAGGAUUUAACUGUCUGAUGGCUAUGGUUUCGGGAAAGUGCCAGAACCUCCACGUCAGCCACCCCAGAGCCACAGGUACGGUACGAGCCACAGCUACGGGCCCCAAGAAAGAGCCCCACACCCACCAUGGUCCACAGAAGACGCCGCUCACUGGCCCCGGGUUACCUGGAGUCUUGUGCAUUCUCCUUACACCAAGUGAAGAUAAUAUUUUGUUUCCUUCCCACUUUUUCUCUAACACAAACCACCCCAGUUCUCCCUUCUGACAACAGGCAAGUGGACCCUAGACCUUCCGGAAAAGCCUUAGAGAGCACCCCCAAAUGCUCACAUUUGUCAGCUGUAAUUCCACCCCCAGUUAAAACCUGAUUCUGAAUGUGACUUGGCCAACGCAGCUUGCAAAGCAAGAACGUCUUCAUUUAAGGUCGAAAACAUCAGCUGUUUGGGUUGUGAGAAAAGAAAAGCCCACAAGGUUUCCGAGGCUUGGUGCUGCUUCUCACUGUCCUCAGCUCCUGAUUCUGCAGCUGGUUCUCUCUCCAAGCACCAGCAAAACCCUGUCCUAGGAGCCCCCAGACUCUAAGAGCCCAUGACCAAAAAGGAAAGCCAAAUUGGAGAACAGGGGCCCCCAACUCCACAGUCCUCCACUCUGCCCAGAGGGCCCACCAUGGGCUGCCUGAAACCCCCUAAAGUUGCCACCCCCGCAACACAGUAGUGGGGCAGUUCCUGGCAGCGCCUGCAGCCCAUGGGCUGGCUCUGUCCCCGCAGCCCCGCCGAGCAUCUGUUAUCUUAUUUACUGGAAUCUGCACAGCCAGGCUCUAGCUCGCCGGUGACUAAGGAGCUGCAACCAUUAUUACCAGGCAGAUGGCAGACUCCCUAAAAACAGACAUUAAACAAUAAAAUGCCACCACAUAUCUUGCCCACAAAAUAAAAUCAAAACAAACACCUAA
rnacentral:antisense_RNA from 1 species